rnacentral:rRNA from 1 species
GACGAACGCUGGCGGCGUGCUUAACACAUGCAAGUCGAGCGAUGAAGUUCCUUCGGGAAUGGAUUAGCGGCGGACGGGUGAGUAACACGUGGUAACCUGCCUCAUAGAGGGGAAUAGCCUUUCGAAAGGAAGAUUAAUACCGCAUAAGAUUGUAGUAUCGAAUGAUACAGAAAUUAAAGGAGUAAUCCGCUAUGAGAUGGACCCGCGUCGCAUUAGCUAGUUGGUGAGGUAACGGCUCACCAAGGCGACGAUGCGUAGCCGACCUGAGAGGGUGAUCGGCCACAUUGGGACUGAGACACGGCCCAGACUCCUACGGGAGGCAGCAGUGGGGAAUAUUGCACAAUGGGGGAAACCCUGAUGCAGCAACGCCGCGUGAGUGAUGACGGUCUUCGGAUUGUAAAGCUCUGUCUUCAGGGACGAUAAUGACGGUACCUGAGGAGGAAGCCACGGCUAACUACGUGCCAGCCGCCGCCGUAACAC